GACAGAGGUCCCGAGCGUUAGGCGGAAUCACUGGGCUUAAAGCGUGUGUAGGCGGCGGCCUAAGUACCUUGUGAAAUCCCACGGCUCACCCGUGGAACUGCUCGGUAUACUGGGUCGCUUGACCCACUUAGGGGCUACCGGAACAAAUGGUGGAGCGGUGAAAUGCGUAGAUAUCAUUUGGAACGCCAAUGGUGAAAACAGGUAGCUGGGAGUGUGCUGACGCUGAGACACGAAAGCCAGGGGAGCAAACGGG
rnacentral:rRNA from 1 species